rnacentral:rRNA from 1 species
GACGAACGCUGGCGGCGUGCUUAACACAUGCAAGUCGAACGGAAAGGCCCUGCUUGCAGGGUACUCGAGUGGCGAACGGGUGAGUAACACGUGGGUGAUCUGCCCUGCACUUCGGGAUAAGCCUGGGAAAAUGGGUCUAAUACCGGAUAGGAGCCAUUUUUAGUGUGAUGGUUGGAAAGUUUUUUCGGUGUAGGAUGAGCUCGCGGCCUAUCAGCUUGUUGGUGGGGUAAUGGCCUACCAAGGCGGCGACGGGUAGCCGGCCUGAGAGGGUGGACGGCCACAUUGGGACUGGGAUACGGCCCAGACUCCUACGGGAGGCAGCAGGGGGGAAUAUUGCACAAUGGGCGCAAGCCUGAUGCAGCGACGCCGCGGGGGGGAUGACGGCCUUCGGGUUGUAAACUCCUUUCGCUAGGGACGAAGCUUUUUGUGACGGUACCUAGAUAAGAAGCACCGGCUAACUACGUG